rnacentral:tRNA from 1 species
GGUCGGGUAGCUCAGUUGGCAGAGCGCGCGCCUGAAAAGCGUGAGGUCACCGGAUCGACGCCGGUCCCGACCACCC